GAUGAACGCUGGCGGCGUGCUUAACACAUGCAAGUCGAACGGAGGACCCUUGACGGAGUUUUCGGACAACGGAAAGGAAUCCUUAGUGGCGGACGGGUGAGUAACGCGUGAGGAACCUGCCUUGGAGAGGGGAAUAACACAGAGAAAUCUGUGCUAAUACCGCAUAACGCAGCUGAGUCGCAUGGCUCUGGCUGCCAAAGAUUUUAUCGCUCUGAGAUGGUCUCGCGUCUGAUUAGGUAGUUGGCGGGGCAACGGCCCACCAAGCCGACGAUCAGUAGCCGGACUGAGAGGUUGGCCGGCCACAUUGGGACUGAGACACGGCCCAGACUCC
rnacentral:rRNA from 1 species